GGGGCGGGUAAUACAAGAGCUAGAAGAACAAAACCUCUUCAGCACUGCGCUACUAUACCUCACUGAGAGAGAGGACACAUACAAGGACACUCAGACUACUAGCACAAAUGUUUCCUUUAUUCUGUGGCAUACUACUGUCUUCCGUAGGAAACACGGAAGGUGACUCCGUCCUUCAGAAUCACUCAAUAUUCCUGCAGGAAAAUGAGAAGGCAGUAUUAUACUGUCAGUAUGAAACCUCAUAUAGUGCUCCUGAUCUGUUUUGGUACAUUCAGUCAGAUAAGAAGUCACCAGAGUUCAUACUCAAUAGUUAUAAUACCCGUGGAAAUGGUUAUAAAGAAGGACUCACAGCAGAUCAUGAGAAGUCUAACAAGACCUAUAAUCUGAAGAUCGCUGCAGCUGUGCUGUCUGACUCUGCCACAUACUACUGUGCUCUGAGGCCCACAUUGUGUGAGUCUGUUUCUCACCUCAUACCAAAACCUCCUUACUCUGUGUCAAGCCUGGCUGUAGUUAAUAUACUAUAUGCGUCCCAUUUAUCAAUAAAGAAGCAUUAAAGAUCUUGGACAUCAGCCUGUUAGUUCAUGGCAUACAUUGGAUCUGGCAAUGGCAGAUUCAUGGUUUCAUUAUAACAGGGUUUUUGUUAAAGUUUGCAGAGGGAGUUGGAAUGGAGGACAUAUUCUGCUCAAGCUGUAGAUAGAUGUUUGAGGCAGAUAUUUGUACUACAGCAUAUCUAAUUAAUCAACAGCCAAAAUUUUAUUAUUUCAAAAUAUUAUUGUUAUCCAGUAAACCAGAAAUUACCUCAUGAUAGACAGAAAGGAGUAAUGCAUAAGGUUAUCUCCCUUAUAAUUUCCAAGAGAUUUUAGUUGCAUGUCAGUCAUGGUAUAACUUAAUAUAUCAGAUGCACCAUUGUUUCAUUUCUAAUUUUGUCAUAUGCAUUUACCAAUUCAAAAAAAAGAUUUCUACCUUUCUUAUGAAAAUCAGAUAUGUACAUCAUUCUAAAUAAUAAUAUUUUGGCAGCUGAUUAAUUUCACGACAGUAAAACUACACAAUGUGGUACUGUUCUACAUUGAGAAGUCAUUAAGCAGUAUGCUUUCAAAUGUACAGUUCUAAAAUUAGUUCCCCUUUGAACUUUAAUCUGCUGUGUCUUGCUAAGGUAUCAUAAGGUAUCAUGCUUGAGGAAAAUGUCUUUUUUUAUCAUUUGUAAUAUUUCAGUUACAAAACUUUUUUGUAAUUUGAGUAUUUCAGUUUAAUCUUUUUAAUGCAACUUAGUGGUUGAGAGGAUUAUUUUAUCAUAAAAUGUAAAACAAAACAUUCCUUUCUGUAUACUGUACAUUGCCUGUGAUUGUCAGCAAUGGUUUGUGUCCAGAGGAGGGGCUAAAUAAUUGAUGUGUGGAGGAGUUUCCUGUUAAAACUGUAGAGCGAGUCAGAGUGGAAGACUUAUUCUGUUCCAGCUGUGCUUAAAAUCAGUGUUUUAACACAUAUCAUAAUGCUACACUGUUUAUUACUUCUGUUUUCGACAAUGGUGGGUGACAGUUUUGAAGAUUCAAUCAUGGCAAUAAACAACACAGUACAUGCUCUGGGGGAAAGCAAUGUUGCACUGUCAUGCACCUACAGUAGUACUGCAAGUGCUAAGUAUCUGCACUGGUAUCGCCAAUAUCCCUC